GAGAGUCGGUGCGGGGGUUGCGGAUCCGUGCAGGCAGCGGAUCCGAGGAAAGUCCGGGCUCCCCAAGACCAGACCGCCGGGUAACGCCCGGUGCGGGCAACCGCAAGGCAAGUGCCACAGAAACAGACCGCCCAUGCGCUCGCACCCGAGCGCAGGUAAGGGUGCAAAGGUGCGGUAAGAGCGCACCAGCAGUACCGAGAGGUGCUGGCUCGGUAAACCCCGGUCGGGAGCAAGGCAGCGGAACCGGAGCGGGUCUUGCAGCGGUUCCGCAACACGCCGCUCGAGGCGUCUGGCGACAGGCGCCCUAGAUAGAUAACCCCCCUCGAAGGCAGGGCCUUCGAGAACAGAACCCGGCUUACGGCCGGCUCUCCCUU
rnacentral:RNase_P_RNA from 1 species